rnacentral:rRNA from 1 species
UACGAAGGGAGCUAGCGUUGUUCGGAAUUACUGGGCGUAAAGCGCGCGUAGGUGGCCAUGCAAGUCAGGGGUGAAAUCCCGGGGCUCAACCCCGGAACUGCCUUUGAAACUGCAUGGCUUGAGUCUCGGAGGGGAUGGUGGAAGUCCUAAUGUAGCGGUGAAAUGCGUAGAGAUUAGGAGGAACACCGGUGGCGAAGGCGACCAUCUGGACGAGUACUGACACUGAGGCGCGAAAGCGUGGGUAGCAAACAGG